rnacentral:rRNA from 1 species
AUUGAACGCUGGCGGCAUGCCUUACACAUGCAAGUCGAACGGCAGCACGGGUGCUUGCACCUGGUGGCGAGUGGCGAACGGGUGAGUAAUACAUCGGAACGUACCUUAUCGUGGGGGAUAACGCAGCGAAAGCUGUGCUAAUACCGCAUACGCCCUGAGGGGGAAAGCGGGGGAUCGCAAGACCUCGCGCGAUUAGAGCGGCCGAUGCCUGAUUAGCUAGUUGGUGGGGUAAAAGCCCACCAAGGCGACGAUCAGUAGCUGGUCUGAGAGGACGAUCAGCCACACUGGGACUGAGACACGGCCCAGACUCCUACGGGAGGCAGCAGUGGGGAAUUUUGGACAAUGGGGGCAACCCUGAUCCAGCAAUGCCGCGUGAGUGUAGAAGGCCUUCGGGUUGUAAAGCUCUUUUGUCAGGGAAGAAACACCGGCUCUAACACAGUCCGGGAAUGACGGUACCUGAAGAAUAAGCACCGGCUAACUACGUGCCAGCAGCCGCAGUAA